UGGGGAAUAUUGCACAAUGGGCGAAAGCCUGAUGCAGCAACGCCGCGUGAAGGAUGAAGGCCUUUGGGUCGUAAACUUCUGUCCUUGGGGAAGAAAAAAAUGACGGUACCCCUGGAGGAAGUCCCGGCUAACUACGUGCCAGCAGCCGCGGUAAUACGUAAGGGGCGAGCGUUAUCCGGAAUGCUUGGGCGAAAAGAGUACGUAGGGGGUUUUUUAAGCGCAGGGUUUAAGGCGAUGGCUCAACUGUCGUUCGCCCUGUGAACUGGAAGACUUGAGUACAGGAGAGGAAAGCGGAAUUCCUAGUGUAGCGGUGAAAUGCAUAGAUAUUAGGAGGAACACCAGUGGCGAAGGCGGCUUUCUGGACUGUAACUGACACUGAGGUACGAAAGCGUGGGGAGCAAACA
rnacentral:rRNA from 1 species